GACGAACGCUGGCGGCGUGCUUAACACAUGCAAGUCGAACGGAAAGGCCCUGCUUUUGUGGGGUGCUCGAGUGGCGAACGGGUGAGUAACACGUGAGUAACCUGCCCUUGACUUUGGGAUAACUUCAGGAAACUGGGGCUAAUACCGGAUAGGAGCUCCUGCUGCAUGGUGGGGGUUGGAAAGUUUCGGCGGUUGGGGAUGGACUCGCGGCUUAUCAGCUUGUUGGUGGGGUAGUGGCUUACCAAGGCUUUGACGGGUAGCCGGCCUGAGAGGGUGACCGGCCACAUUGGGACUGAGAUACGGCCCAGACUCCUACGGGAGGCAGCAGUGGGGAAUAUUGCACAAUGGGCGGAAGCCUGAUGCAGCAACGCCGCGUGCGGGAUGACGGCCUUCGGGUUGUAAACCGCUUUUGCCUGUGACGAAGCGUGAGUGACGGUAAUGGGUAAAGAAGCACCGGCUAACUACGUGCCAGCAGCCGCGGUGAUACGUAGGGUGCGAGCGUUGUCCGGAUUUAUUGGGCGUAAAGGGCUCGUAGGUGGUUGAUCGCGUCGGAAGUGUAAUCUUGGGGCUUAACCCUGAGCGUGCUUUCGAUACGGGUUGACUUGAGGAAGGUAGGGGAGAAUGGAAUUCCUGGUGGAGCGGUGGAAUGCGCAGAUAUCAGGAGGAACACCAGUGGCGAAGGCGGUUCUCUGGGCCUUUCCUGACGCUGAGGAGCGAAAGCGUGGGGAGCGAACAGGCUUAGAUACCCUGGUAGUCCACGCUGUAAACGGUGGGUACUAGGUGUGGGGUCCAUUCCACGGGUUCCGUGCCGUAGCUAACGCUUUAAGUACCCCGCCUGGGGAGUACGGCCGCAAGGCUAAAACUCAAAGGAAUUGACGGGGCCCCGCACAAGCGGCGGAGCAUGCGGAUUAAUUCGAUGCAACGCGUAGAACCUUACCUGGGUUUGACAUGGAUCGGGAGUGCUCAGAGAUGGGUGUGCCUCUUUUGGGGUCGGUUCACAGGUGGUGCAUGGCUGUCGUCAGCUCGUGUCGUGAGAUGUUGGGUUAAGUCCCGCAACGAGCGCAACCCUUGUUCACUGUUGCCAGCACGUUAUGGUGGGGACUCAGUGGAGACCGCCGGGGUCAACUCGGAGGAAGGUGGGGAUGACGUCAAGUCAUCACGCCCCUUAUGUCCAGGGCUUCACGCAUGCUACAAUGGCUGGUACAGAGAGUGGCGAGCCUGUGAGGGUGAGCGAAUCUCGGAAAGCCGGUCUCAGUUCGGAUUGGGGUCUGCAACUCGACCUCAUGAAGUCGGAGUCGCUAGUAAUCGCAGAUCAGCAACGCUGCGGUGAAUACGUUCCCGGG
rnacentral:rRNA from 1 species